GCCCAGCGAGCUCCGUGCUGCCCCCCCGCGGCUGCCCCCCGCCACUGCAGCGCUGCCGGCCCGGGGUUAGCAGGGGCCAGGCGCGGCCCCCGGGUAGGAGCUGGGAGGGUCUGGGGAAGAGAGAGGGGUUUGGAGCCCUGUCAGAACCCCCAGUGGAGCUGUGCUCGGGCAGCCUCCCUAGCCAAGGGUGACCUGCAGCAGAAGGAGAUGGCAUCUGCCUGUGACAACCAACAGUCUGCUCAGAGCUGGAGGCAGUGGGGUGGUGUUACUCUUCCCUGGAGAGCUCUGUCACUCGCUGUUGGAAAGACAACCUCAUCUCACCUGGGGACCAGGAUCAGAGAUAAACACACACCCCAUUCAAGCAGCACAAGAACAGCCUCAAGGGUCAUCAGAUCCUGUUUCUGACAGGCGCAGGCAGCACUGCAUGGAGAGAGAUGCAAGAACAGGACAAAAGCAGUGCCCAUUCCCACGUCCUCUCAGCUUCCAGGAGCACUUUUGCAAUAAACCCAACCAACCUCACUUCUUUAUGCUCUUUAAGAAAGCUGAGUUGGACUGAGACCCAACUGAACCCCUGCACUGGUCAAACCUUGCUGCUAGGUCGGUAAAUGCCACAUCUUGCGGCCACAUCACAACACACUUCUGCCCAUAAGGAGCCAAGGCAGAAAGCAGCAUGGAAGGGGCUGGGAAGAGAGAAGAAAGGGGAAGCUGCACAGGUUGUUAGAAAAGCUGUGUCAACUAGCUGUAGGCAGAAGCCUUGCUCUAACCUCAUCAUGCCUGUGAUUUGGUUUCCUGGCUCUGACUGCCCCCGUCAGUCAGUCACACACUGGUCAUGGUCUUGCAUCAGGAUUGGGGUGGUGGAAGCUCCCACUGAAGUGGCUCAAGGAAAUUUUCAGUUCAUGGCAAUAGCCCAUCUAGCAAAGGAGAUCAGACAUCCAGAUUUCAGGGCUUAGCAGAGGGCAGCUGCCAGCCGAGGAGCCAAGCAGCUCAGGAUUGGGGAGAAGCAGUUUUGUGACACAGGCUCCAAAUCCUGCAACAGGACAAUUCCUCAAAAAGCAGGAAAGCAAAGAUUUGAGACAAGUGUGCCCUAGGACAACGCUUCCCUUCCCACAUGCCAUUACCCCAUCCUCUUUAUUUUUA